rnacentral:piRNA from 1 species
UAAUGGCCAGGAAGCAGAACAAUA